rnacentral:misc_RNA from 1 species
GGAAAUACAUGUACAAAGAUAAAAAGUAGCAGCCGACCGGAGUUUGUACUCAGAAUUUGAAGAUAUCUUUUGCCUGUGACUAUGGCUACUGCCGAAGAAGAAAAAUUUUACAUUGAAUUAUGUAAAAAGCCUAUUCGGUUUGAACCUAUUAGCAAAGCCAACAACAUAUUCUUUGAUGAUGCCAAUAAACAGGUAUUUGCUGUUCGAUCCGGUGGAGCAAUGGGUGUUACUGUUAAAGGUCCAGAUGAAAAGACUUCGAUUUCUUUCAGAAUGGAAGAUAGAGGUGAUGUUAUAUCAGUGAAGUUUUCACCAGACAAAAGAAUAUUGGCCAUUCAGCGAUCUAGCAAAUCUGUGGAAUUUAUUAACUUUAAAAGUGACAUGACACCUGAUGCUGUUGAAUACUCCCAAACAUGUAAGGGUAAAUCCACUGAAAUGAUUGGUUUCAUAUGGACAGCUGUGAAUGAAGUUGCUUUCAUCACGAAUCAUGGACUAGAGCAGUAUCAGGUCUUUCCUGAAAAACACAGCUUGAAAAGCCAGAAGAUGAUCAGUCUUCAGAUUAACUGGUUUGUGUGGCUGUCAGAAAGUUACAUCCUACUGCUUUCGUCAGGAACCUUGGGCAAUGCACUGCAUCCAUUUCAGUUUCGGCAGAAUUUCUUGAACCGCUUACCAAAGUUUGAAGUAGAUCUUCCUGUGAUACCCAAACCUCCAAAACUCAGUCUGUUAGAACGAGAUGUCAUCAUAGCAAAUAUCUAUGGUUACCUGUAUAUUGUUGUUUUGAGACAUCAACCAAAUGCAACGGUUGGGGCUGAAAUUGUUCUCUAUCAACUGCAGAAAGACAGUCCUGCCAAAAAGACGGACAUUCUUCAGCUGGACAUGAGUGGCCGAUUUGCCAUCAAUAUUGUCGAUAACCUUGUCAUGGUGCACCACCAAGCCUCAAAGACAUCCCUGAUAUUCGAUGUCAAAAUGAGUGGAGACAUGGAAGCCGUUGUGAAGAUUCACCACUCUGUGUUACCUCCCCUGCCUAUCAAUCCAUUCAAACUGCUGCUGCCAUCCCUGAAUAUGACUGCAGGAACAGAGAAAGCAGAGUACAACUGUGAACUCUAUUCUGGAAACUGGAUUGUUUUUCAACCAGAUGUUGUCAUCGAUGCUAAACUAGGAUGUCUGUGGUAUAUUAAACUGAAUCUGGAGCCUUUGGUCACCAUGCUUUCAGAUAAGUGUAAGUUGAUACAUUUUCUUUUGUGUCGUCGUGACAGCAAGAAGGUAAUUCUGUCAGUGUGUAAACAGAUGCUCAUCCCUGGGCAACAGGUAAAGCUGCCCAUUGUGUCACAGGCCUAUGACAUGUUGAACCAAGUCUACAAGGCAUACAGAGAUGCAGAGUCACAAGUUUCGGCUGGUGAGAUUUCUCCUUCAGUGAUGCAAAAUACAUGGAAGAGAAAAGUGAUCAUUGAUCAGUCGGAUAUGUACACAAACGUCUUUUCCGUCUUUGAAGAUUGCAAGGAUAUCCGCUACAAAUUCAUGGUGGCAGUCUUAAUAGAGUACAUACGAUCAUUAAACCACUUCAGCAUUCCAGUGCAGCACUACCUGUAUGAGCUGAUCAUCAACAUAUUGGUACACAACAAUUGUUUCUACCAGCUUCACCAGUUCCUUCAGUAUCAUGUGCUCAGUGACUCCAAACCACUGGCAUGUUUGAUGCUGUCAUUGGAGAGUGUAUAUGCCCCAGCUCACCAGUUGGCUUUGGACAUGCUGAAGAGAUUGCAGACUGCUAAUGAGGAGAUCAUAGAAGUGCUUCUGUCCAAACAGCAGUUACUUCCUGCUUUAAGUGUCAGCACGGAAAUUCUUGGAAACUGCAAUGAACACAGAAGAUAAGAUGCUCUUUUACGCAGUUUUCAAGUUCUUUGAGGAAAGAAACUUCCGACUGAAAGGAAACCCAAGAUUUCAUCCAGGAGAGCAUUGUGACCAGUACGUGAAACACUUUGAGUCCCUGUAUGGAACAGAAGCCCUCGCUCUUGUUCCGGUCCACAGCUGAGGUGUGCCGAGAAAAUGAGAUAUGGUAGUCAGUGUUCGAAAUAAGCAAUUGUCUGUUUGUCCUGACAAAUGAAAAUCUGCUCAAAUAAAAUGUACCUUGGUGGUUGUCCAGUGGACAAGUAAGAUUGUGCAUUGAAGUUUCAUUUUAAGCAUUGAAAAACAUUGUCCUUGUACUUGAAUGAAACAAACUAUUUAUUUGGACAAAUGAAAAUAUUGUCUAGACAAAUCGAUUUUUAGAUGUAUUUGUCUAGUGGACUAGUGAAAAAUUCUGCUUAUUUCUAUCACUGAGUAAUGCAAUAUCAACAAAUCAGACUGUUAUAUAGUUCAUGCCAUGUUAUUCAUUACUGUUAAUGUUUGGGGAAUUUUACAGUACAUUUUAAUACCAUGAUAAACUGCAGGUUUCCCAUAUUUUUCAGUAUAAUUUAUUAGAUGAUUUAUUGUAUAUCAGCAAAAUGUAGCUGUCUUAUGAGUGUAUUGGAAGUUUUUCUCAUUGGUCUAUUAUUUCAGGUCAGGGUUGACUGCAAACAAUUUCGCUUUUUGUGUACAAAAUUGGUAUAAAUGAAGCAAUUUGACUAGAUGUAUAAUAAAUAUGAAAUAUUUGGUUUGCUGUAAUCCAGAGUAAUGUUAUUUUAACAAUAUUUAGUAUGGUGUUGUUUGAAAUAUAAAAUCAUAGCCUGAUGUUAGAUUUUUCUUUCUUUUUUAACAAAAUUACCAAGUUACUUGAUACUGUUAUAUACAGUGGACUCUGUUUAAACAGGAUUCUGUGUAAUCUGGAUCUCUGCGUAAACCGGUCCAUUUCUAAAGCCCCGUCCAGCUACCAUUUAUCUCUUAGGUAUAAAUCUCUACCUAAUCCGUAUUCUGUCUACUACGGACUUCGGAUCAAAAAUCAAGAACGAAAGAACCGUUCAUGAUUGGGAUUUGACUCAACAACGGGCUGCUUAAUUAGUUGAACAAUGAUCGUCAGUUGCUAAGUAAUCAGGAUGCCGUCGCAAGAUCACAUACAAAAUGUAAUCACACUCGUGUGAAGUUUACUCUUAUUGCGGUAGGCCGUUAGAUCAAUCAGAUUAAUAUUAGUGUGUGUGUUCAUACCUAACUGAUUUCACUCUUAUGAAAUCGGCGAGUUAUACUUGUCAACCUAAUGCAUGUAUAAAUAGGUGUGAGUCGCUCGUAUAUUUUGUGUGGUCUUAUUUCAUUUAUAAUGGCGGAGCAGCCCAAAAAAUGGCAACAUAUCGAACUUUCAUUAGAAACUAAAGUCAAAUUAAUACAAGAGUUUGAUUCAAAUCCACAGUCAAAACAGAAGGAUUUAGCACAAAAAUUUAAAAUUGGAAAACAGACAACCAUCCAUGGGUUCAAAUGUCAUUGUUGAUCGCGAGUUGUCGAUCAUUCAAGUACCAUAACUCUGAAUGAACUGUCUAAACCGGUCCUCUAUGUAAACCGGAUUAUUUUGAUGGUAUGAAGUGAGUCCGUUUUAGACAAGAGUCCAUUGUAUAUUAAAAAGGAAGAAGAAAAUAUGGUUGAAAAAAAAGACAUUAGUGCAAUUUUAAUACUUGUUUGGGCUGGAAAUCAAUCUGAGAACUCUUUUAUUUCCAGACAUUUUCACCACAUUAUUCUAUUCUUCUGUACCUCCACUCCUCCUAUGACAUAGUUGAAUUGUCACUACAUUUGAGCAAAAUAUCCAAAUAGAUAAACUCUCCAUACCAAAUUGUUUUCUAGAGACUGGUAAAAAAACAAACCCAAAUCCAAACAGUGACACAUUCAGACCUCUUCCAAUAGUGACCAGGACGGGUGUGAAUAAAUGAUGAUGUUAUUGUCAAUUACCAUAUCAUCCUACUAAUUAAUGGGACCAACAUCCCUAUCCAUAUCAAAACUGUGUGAUACACCCUUGAAUUUAUCACUGUAACUUUAAAUUUCCUGAUUUCACCUUUUAGCAUGUCUGUUACUGAAUUGUGUUGUUCCGACCCCAUGGUCAAAUCUCCCUCAUUUACCUGUUGUGUUAAGAUCUGUAACAUUAUAUUAACCUGCAUGACGAAGGUUAUUAUAGGCUCCCGAAUUGAUCAAACAAGACAAUGAUCAGUGCCAGAAAAAGCACUCAUUUACCUGUUGUGCUAAGAUCUGUAACAUGUUAACCUGCAUGAUGCAGGUUAUUAUAGGCAGUGUUCGAAAUAAACACUUAUCUGUUUGUCCUAACAAAUGAAAAUCUACUCGGACAAGCAAAAUGUACAUUGGUGGUUAUCUGGUGGACAAAUAAAAAUGUUCAGUGCUGUUUCAUUUUGAGCCAUCAAGAAUAUUGUCCUUGCACUCGAAUAAAACAAAUUGUUUAUUUGGACAAAUAAAAUUAUAGAUGGACGAGUAGAUUUCUAAAUGUAUUUGUCCGGUGGACUUGUGAAAUGUUCUGCUUAUUUCCAUCACUGAUAGGCUCCUGAAUUGAUAAAAGAAGACAAUGAUCACAAAUGUAAAAUGCUUGGUGUGUUCAAUACAAACUCUACAAAACUAGUGUCUCAUGAGAAUUUUCCAAAUUCCUACUACAAAUGGAUAUAUCAUUUAGAUGAUCAUGGUCGUCUUGACCUGUGUUUUUCUCUUCCUUUUCUUCCUCCAUGACCUUGUCAUUGCCCUUGCUCUCCUCUCACUGUGCUCGUCUACUCUGACAGGUUAGUUUACAUCAAACUUUGCCUUCAUUCCUUUGUCUACUAUGGACUGUCAAGGUUGUGAAUAGUGUGGGUGUUCAUCUUCAGCUCGUUUUUUUUUUAAAUAUUAAAAACUUUUUUAUUCAUAGAUGCCCUGUUACAAGUAACUGCCCUAAUCCAGAGAAAAAGGGACAAGUGGUCUACUUGAACCAGGAAUGAUGUGUUUUUGUUUCUAUUCUAAACUAAUAACAAUUUCAUCUUCACUUUUAUGUCUUGGCUCUUCACAUUUUAUGCACUCCUUAAAUUGUUCUUUAUAUCUCACCUUCACUUCACCAUGACCAUCUGUUCUCGGUGUCUGAACACAGUUUUUUCACACUAAAGAGUGACUUCAGGUGGUUAUCAGGGCUGCAGAAAUUAAAAAUUUGUGUAACCCAUUAAUGGGUAUGGGUUACACAAAUUAUUUUCUUCUCAUAAACCUUUUCCAAAAUAUUAUAAAUUGAAUUUUGUCCAAAAGACUUAACACGUAGAGUGCUGCAGACAUGUAUACACAUUCUAGGUCAAGUAUUAUGUCGUCAUAGGGAACCGUUGUCAUAGUGUCGCUAUGGUUUGACUGUUUUAAUUUUUUGACAUAUGAAAACGUUAAUGGAUAAUAGAUGCAUACAAUCCUCAAAGAUAUAGAAAACUGGCAGCUGAGAAUCGGUGUUUAUUUCUAAUUUAAAAAAUAUAUAUAUCAAAAA